rnacentral:rRNA from 1 species
UAGGGAAUCUUCCACAAUGGGCGAAAGCCUGAUGGAGCAACGCCGCGUGUGUGAUGAAGGGUUUCGGCUCGUAAAACACUGUUGUAAGAGAAGAAUGACAUUGAGAGUAACUGUUCAAUGUGUGACGGUAUCCUACCAGAAAGGAACGGCUAAAUACGUGCCCG